CUUUUUGGAGGAGUGCUAGUCUCUAGCUCAGCUGUCCCUGGCUGUGGAGUCCUUUUCUCCUGAGCUUUGUAUGCAGAUUGGUCUCCUAGUUUGAACUUGGCUCUGCCUCAUCAUCACAGCUCUGCCUGGAAUUUACUAGACCUGACCCAUAGACUGGCUUCCUGGUUUGACCUUAGACCUGCCCUAUCACUAUGCUUUUGGCUUGUGACGUAGGCUCUUGGUUGGACCUGGUUACCAUCUCAGGAUCUGUCCUGCUCGGUUCACUCACAUGGUGUGGGGAAGGCCCUGGAAUCACCUCAGCUCUUCCCUUGAGGAGAAGACCUUCUCUUGCUGCUCUCUGGCACUCUCUUAAAAUAUGUUUCUUAGUGUGUAGGGAUGAGCUAGUGUGGUUGUCAGUACCUAAGUAAUAGUAGAUGGUGAUUCCUAUCCCCUCUGCAGAAGCUUUUUAACUGAAGUUCUCUUUUUGUUUUGAAGGAGUUGCUUCUUACUGGCUUCCUGGAGGCAACAAAGCGGCAAAAGAUGACAGAGGUAAGGAACAGAAACUUCAGGUGACACUGCUAAAACAUUUCCACUGCUGAAGAAAAUCUAGAUAAUGCUUUUAUCUUCAGACAUGAAGAUUCAUGGUUCAGUUUUGUCUAGAGGACUUUGCCCACAAAUAAAGAUAAUCCCAUAUUCAGUGUUCCACCUCAUUGGAUUGAGCCUGCAAAGCAUUUCUUAUCUAGAUAAAAUAAAAGGCUUUGCAAAAAAAUGCUGGCAAACCACACUUGAUUUAAAUGAACUGUUCAGAACCUAGAACUACUGAAAAAAAAGAAAGAUCAGAGCAAACCUGCAAGCUGAU